rnacentral:rRNA from 1 species
UACGUAGGGGGCUAGCGUUGUCCGGAAUCAUUGGGCGUAAAGCGCGUGUAGGCGGUCCGGUAAGUCCGCUGUGAAAGUCGGGGGCUCAACCCUCGAAUGCCGGUGGAUACUGUCGGGCUAGAGUGCGGAAGAGGCGAGUGGAAUUCCUGGUGUAGCGGUGAAAUGCGCAGAUAUCAGGAGGAACACCAACGGCGAAGGCAGCUUACUGGGCCGAUACUGACGCUGAGGAGCGAAAGCGUGGGGAGCGAACAGG